GCUAUGCAUGGUGGUACAUGCCUAUAAUCCCAGCUACUUGGGAGGCUGAGGCAGAAAGAUCACUUGAGCCUGGAAGUCUGAAAUCAACCUGGGCAACAUAGGAAGAUCCUGUCUCAG
rnacentral:sRNA from 1 species